rnacentral:rRNA from 1 species
UACGUAGGUGACAAGCGUUGUCCGGAUUUACUGGGCGUAAAGAGCGCGCAGGCGGUCGAUCAAGUCGAGUGUGAAAGCCCCCGGCUCAACUGGGGAGGGUCAUUCGAAACUGGUCGACUCGAAGGCAGGAGAGGGUAGUGGAAUUCCCGGUGUAGUGGUGAAAUGCGUAGAUAUCGGGAGGAACACCAGUGGCGAAGGCAGAUCUCUGGGCCGUAACUGACGCUGAGGAGCGAAAGCAUGGGGAGCGAACAGG